rnacentral:rRNA from 1 species
UACGUAGGGCGCAAGCGUUGUCCGGAAUUAUUGGGCGUAAAGAGCUCGUAGGCGGUUUGUCGCGUCUGCUGUGAAAACCUAAGGCUCAACCUUGGGCUUGCAGUGGGUACGGGCAGACUAGAGUGCGGUAGGGGUGACUGGAAUUCCUGGUGUAGCGGUGGAAUGCGCAGAUAUCAGGAGGAACACCGAUGGCGAAGGCAGGUCACUGGGCCGAUACUGACGCUGGAGGAGCGAAAGCGUGGGGAGCGAACAGG